UACGUAGGGUGCAAGCGUUGUCCGGAAUUAUUGGGCGUAAAGAGCUCGUAGGCGGCUUGUCGCGUCGGCUGUGAAAACCUGGGGCUCAACCCCGGGCCUGCAGCCGAUACGGGCAAGCUAGAAUUCGGUAGGGGAGACUGGAAGUCCUGGUGUAGCGGUGAAAUGCGUAGAUAUCGGGAGGAACACCAGCGGCGAAGGCGGCUUCUGGACCAAUACUGACGCUGAGACGCGAAAGCGUGGGGAGCAAACAGG
rnacentral:rRNA from 1 species